rnacentral:lncRNA from 1 species
GUGACACCAUUGGCUCGGGUUGCGGCGUUUUUUGGUUUUUGCAAAUAUUUUUGCAAAUUUAUUUUAGUAGGCUGUGCCGAGAACCUUUAGAUUUGAAUUCGGCUGCUCAUUUUGACUCCUAUGGACUUGCUCUCGGCUGUCCUCCACCGUUUACAUCUGGGCAUCCUCUAGAUUUCCUCACUUAUUUUUCUGUUUUUUAUCAUUCGAGCUCUCACUUUCUUAUUUAUUGGUCCCCUUUUGCUGAUCGAGUCACUGGCCCCCCUUGGUUUUUAGCCAG